rnacentral:rRNA from 1 species
GACGAACGCUGGCGGCGUGCUUAACACAUGCAAGUCGAACGGAAAGAGAUGAAAGAGCUUGCUCUUUUAUUAAUUUCAGUGGCAAACGGGUGAGUAACACGCAAACAACCUGCCUUAAGGAUGGGGAUAACAGACGGAAACGACUGCUAAUACCGAAUACGUUCUAAGCAUCGCAUGGUGCAUAGAAGAAAGGGUGGCCUCUACAAGAAAGCUAUCGCCUUAAGAGGGGUUUGCGACUGAUUAGGUAGUUGGUGAGGUAACGGCUCACCAAGCCGACGAUCAGUAGCCGGUCUGAGAGGAUGAACGGCCACACUGGAACUGAGACACGGUCCAGACUCCUACGGGAGGCAGCAGUGGGGAAUCUUCCGCAAUGGACGAAAGUCUGACGGAGCAACGCCGCGUGAACGAAGAAGGUCUUCGGAUUGUAAAGUUCUGUGAUUCGGGACGAAAGGGUUUGUGGUGAAUAAUCAUAGACAUUGACGGUACCGAAAAAGCAAGCCACGGCUAACUACGUGCCAGCAGCCGCGGUAAUACGUAGGUGGCAAGCGUUGUCCGGAAUUAUUGGGCGUAAAGCGCGCGCAGGCGGUUUCUUAAGUCCAUCUUAAAAGCGUGGGGCUCAACCCCAUGAGGGGAUGGAAACUGGGAAGCUGGAGUAUCGGAGAGGAAAGUGGAAUUCCUAGUGUAGCGGUGAAAUGCGUAGAGAUUAGGAAGAACACCGGUGGCGAAGGCGACUUUCUAGACGAAAACUGACGCUGAGGCGCGAAAGCGUGGGGAGCAAACAGGAUUAGAUACCCUGGUAGUCCACGCCGUAAACGAUGGAUACUAGGUGUAGGAGGUAUCGACCCCUCCUGUGCCGGAGUUAACGCAAUAAGUAUCCCGCCUGGGAAGUACGAUCGC